GACGAACGCUGGCGGCGUGCCUAAUACAUGCAAGUCGAACGCUGAAGGAGGAGCUUGCUUCUCUGGAUGAGUUGCGAACGGGUGAGUAACGCGUAGGUAACCUGCCUGGUAGCGGGGGAUAACUAUUGGAAACGAUAGCUAAUACCGCAUAAUAGUAGAUGUUGCAUGACAUUUGCUUAAAAGGUGCAAUUGCAUCACUACCAGAUGGACCUGCGUUGUAUUAGCUAGUUGGUGGGGUAACGGCUCACCAAGGCGACGAUACAUAGCCGACCUGAGAGGGUGAUCGGCCACACUGGGACUGAGACACGGCCCAGACUCCUACGGGAGGCAGCAGUAGGGAAUCUUCGGCAAUGGACGGAAGUCUGACCGAGCAACGCCGCGUGAGUGAAGAAGGUUGUCGGAUCGUAAAGCUCUGUUGUAAGAGAAGAACGAGUGUGAGAGUGGAAAGUUCACACUGUGACGGUAUCUUACCAGAAAGGGACGGCUAACUACGUG
rnacentral:rRNA from 1 species